GGUUACUGUUUUAUGUCACAUCA
rnacentral:miRNA from 10 species